ACCAUCCAGCCAUGAAUAUAAAUAAAAUGAAAGGACAACCAAUGAAAAUAUCUACAACAAAAGCAUUCCACUAAGAUGGAUCAUUAGUAAAUUACCAGUAUCAUGUAUCCCUUGGCCUCCUCUGCGAGCGCCUGCUAAAGUAGAGUAGAGCAAGUGCCAGGUAGCUUACUUUUUCACACGAGACACACAAGCAAGAGUGAAGCUGCACGAGAAGAUACCUUAGAGAAGCCAUCAGAGUAACCAGACGGCGAGCUGAAUAAGUGUGUGACCUACUGGUGGCCGCCAUCUGGGUCGGGCCCCUCCUCCCACGGCAGCAAAUCCUCGCGGCACCACUGUCACAUGCUAGGCCUGAAGCGCGACGGAGUGAGGGUGGUGGACAAGAAGGGUGAUGCCACAGCGGACGGCGAGGCUGGGUCAAUAACAUGCCAUCAUAUUUUAAUUUUAUUUUAGCAAAAAGGAGAUAGAAAUGUAGCAACCUGGCAUAACUAAUUAACUAUUCUAAUUUAAGGCGGAUGAUUGCAUGUAAUCACUAAUCAUAAGUAAUCAACAAGGCUAAAUGAUGGAAUGAGAAGAGGAAUGUAUUUCAUGAAAUAGAGCAAGAGACAAAAACUUGAAAGGAAAAAACACUCAACGCUUGCAGGUGAAGAACAUCAUAUAAAAUGGAUGGUCACCAAUCAGGAAAUGUGCAAAAUAUGUAAUGGAAUUUCUUUGAACUAACUACAAUACAUCAUCUGUGAAGCAAGAGUGAGAAAAUACCAGGAACAUGAUUAGUGUAGUAGUUCUCUGGCUCACACUACACAGGAGCUGCUGUUGUGGCAGGAAUUAAGGGCAAGGAGAGUAAGCGCACAUGCUUGCUGGAGAUCCUUGGCUGGCCGGUCGAACACGCAGCCACAGCAGAGAGAGUACC
rnacentral:lncRNA from 1 species